rnacentral:misc_RNA from 1 species
CACGUAGGGGGCAAGCGUUGUCCGGAUUUAUUGGGCGUAAAGAGCUCGUAGGCGGCUUGGUAAGUCGGUUGUGAAAACUCAGGGCUCAACUCUGAGAGGCCAGCCGAUACUGCCAUGGCUAGAGUCCGGUAGAGGAGUGUGGAAUUCCCAGUGUAGCGGUGAAAUGCGCAGAUAUUGGGAGGAACACCAACGGCGAAGGCAGCACUCUGGGCCGGCACUGACGCUGAGGAGCGAAAGCGUGGGGAGCGAACAGG